rnacentral:lncRNA from 1 species
CUGUACGCGCUUGAGCUGGCGGUGGCCCAUCUACUCCACUGCUUCACGUGGGAGCUUCCCGACGGGAUGAAGCCGAGCGAGAUGGACAUGAGCGACGUCUUCGGACUCACCGCUCCCAGAGCCACUCGCCUCGUCGCUGUUCCCACAAAGCGCGUGCUCUGCCCUCUCUCUUAGAAACCCAAACCAACAACCUUCUUCUCCAAACAUAACAAACACUUUCCCGCCCUUUUUUUUAUUGUAAUUUUUUUCUCUCUCUCUUUUUUUAAUCCCCGCCGAUCCCUCUCCUCCUCCACGAAACAGCGGAAGAAACAACCGUCGGAGGCUACUUUAUCCCGAAGCGGGCGCGCGUCAUGAUCAACGCGUGGGCUAUAGGAAGGGACCCGAGCAGCUGGGAGGAGCCGGAGACGUUCAGGCCCGGGCGGUUCUUGAAGGCCGGCGUUCCGGACUUCAAGGGAAGCAACUUCGAGUUCAUACCGUUCGGAUCGGGUCGAAGGUCUUGCCCGGGGAUGCAGUUGGGGCUGUACGCGCUUGAGCUGGCGGUGGCCCAUCUACUCCACUGCUUCACGUGGGAGCUUCCCGACGGGAUGAAGCCGAGCGAGAUGGACAUGAGCGACGUCUUCGGACUCACCGCUCCCAGAGCCACUCGCCUCGUCGCUGUUCCCACAAAGCGCGUGCUCUGCCCUCUCUCUUAGAAACCCAAACCAACAACCUUCUUCUCCAAACAUAACAAACACUUUCCCGCCCUUUUUUUUAUUGUAAUUUUUUUCUCUCUCUCUUUUUUUAAUCCGCCCACCCAAAAUUAUACAUAAAGAAAACGUAUCUAUAUAUGUAUGUAUCUAUGAAAAUGGAAAUAACGAACCCAACAAGGAAGUAAUGUCUAGUUUGCUGCUUCUAUUUUUUUUCCCUUUUAAUUAAUUUGUGAGAGGACACUUAAUUAGGUUAUUGAUGUGAUGUAAGGUUUGCUGCAAGCAAAAUUAUACAGUGGUAAUCGUUGACGUUAUUGUUUCCACCCGCCUCCAACUUUCGUGGCUAUUUGUCGCAAGGAAAAUGUGAAUCAAGUUCAUGCAUUAUUAGAAGGUGAAAAAACUGUGAAAGUAUGUGACAGGUUAUAAUUAAACAAUAUAGCAUAUUUGGUCCGGCAAAUCUAAGUGCAUUAGUAAUUUAGUUUGUGUUUUUAUUUCUAAUUUGAGAUUGAAACCCAGCGCGAGUUGUUGUCGUUGAAGGUUUUACUUCGUUGUCUCAAGAGUUUGUAUUAUAUAUAUGUUGCAUUGUUUGUUGUAGGUUGUAACCUGAAGGAUCCAUUGGCUCCUCAUACUUUUCCAUAUAUAAAUAAUGUGGUAGCCAUCCAUGUUUUCAAAGUUAGCGUGGACUGCGUGGUGAGGAAUUUAAUUUUGGUAGGGAAGGUGACGGAAUUGAAGUUGAUUUUUUAUGUGAUAAUCAAAAAGCAAGUAAUCAUGUGUCAACAAAACAGUUCAAAAUUAAUGAGUAUCAUCAAUUAGUAGUUGAAAAUAAUAAUAAUAAUAAUCUAAUUAAAGAUAGAUAGAGAUGCAGUGAUGCUAUUAAAGCACGAUUACCUGAUUUGAUCCAACUUCUAAUGAAAA